rnacentral:rRNA from 1 species
GACAGAGGGUGCAAACGUUGUUCGGAAUUACUGGGCGUAAAGCGCGUGUAGGCUGCUUCGCAAGUCGGAUGUGAAAGCCCUGGGCUCAACCCAGGAAGUGCAUUCGAAACUGCAGAGCUGGAGUCCUGGAGAGGAAGGCGGAAUUCUCGGUGUAGAGGUGAAAUUCGUAGAUAUCGAGAGGAACACCGGUGGCGAAGGCGGCCUCUGGACAACUACUGACACUGAGACGCGAAAGCGUGGGUAGCAAACAGG